rnacentral:rRNA from 1 species
UACGGAGGGUGCGAGCGUUGUCCGGAAUCACUGGGCGUAAAGGGCGCGUAGGCGGCUUGGGAAGUCCGUGGUGAAAGCUCGUGGCUCAACUGCGAGUCGGCCAUGGAUACUCCUAAGCUCGAGUCGACUAGAGGCAGAUGGAAUUCCGGGUGUAGCGGUGGAAUGCGUAGAGAUCCGGAAGAACACCGGUGGCGAAGGCGGUCUGCUGGGGUCGAACUGACGCUGAGGCGCGACAGCGUGGGGAUCAAACAGG